UGAGCAAAAUGGAUGGUCGCGGCUGCAAGUGCCGAAAGGCAGCAGGUGAGGAAAGUCCGGGCUUCACAGGGCAGGAUGCCGGAUAACGUCCGGUGGAGGCGACUCCCAGGAAAGUGCAACAGAAAUAAACCGCCAGUUUAACUGGUAAGGGUGGAAAGGCAGUGUAAGAGACUACCGCCUGUCUGGUAACAGUCAGGGCUCUGUAAACCCCAUCCGAAGCAAGACCGAAUAAGAAAGCGGGCGGCCCGUCCAUGCUUUCGGGUAGGUCGCUUGAGCCUGAUGGCGACGUCAGGUCUAGAUAGAUGACCAUCGAACACAUAACCCGGCUUAUAGUUUUACUCACUUA
rnacentral:RNase_P_RNA from 1 species